rnacentral:rRNA from 1 species
CGUGUAGGCGGCCCUGUAAGUCAGAUGUGAAAGCCCUCGGCUUAACCGGGGAAGUGCAUCUGAAACUGCUUGGCUUGAGUACCGGAGAGGGAGGCGGAAUUCCCAGUGUAGAGGUGAAAUUCGUAGAUAUUGGGAGGAACACCGGUGGCGAAAGCGGCCUCCUGGACGGAUACUGACGCUGAGACGCGAAAGCGUGGGGAGCAAACAGGAUUAGAUACCCUGGUAGUCCACGCGGUAAACGAUGGGCACUAGGUGUAGGGGGUAUCCACUCCUCCUGUGCCGCAGCUAACGCAUUAAGUGCCCCGCCUGGGGAGUACGGCCGCAAGGUUAAA